UACGUAGGGGGCAAGCGUUGUCCGGAAUCAUUGGGCGUAAAGCGCGUGUAGGCGGUUCGGUAAGUCGGCUGUGAAAGUCCAGGGCUCAACCCUGGGAUGCCGGUCGAUACUGCCGGACUAGAGUUCGGAAGAGGCGAGUGGAAUUCCCGGUGUAGCGGUGAAAUGCGCAGAUAUCGGGAGGAACACCAAUGGCGAAGGCAGCUCGCUGGGACGUUACUGACGCUGAGGUGCGAAAGCGUGGGGAGCAAACGGG
rnacentral:rRNA from 1 species